CUUCAGAUCAUUGUAGUGGCGAGCCUAGAAUGAGCAUCUCUCUCCUAAGAGGCUGCCAGGGGAAAACACACUCUGCACACAGGCUGGGCUGAAUUCUCAGGGGAACACAAGCCUGAAACGGAAGGAUUGGAUCAUGGCCCAUGAUCUGAAGGAAGGGGAACAUACUAAGAAUGCCCAGAAGUCAUCAUCAGGAUGGUGAAAGAUAUGGAAACCCUCUCAUGCUGGAUCGACUAAACAUGAAUUAGAAAACAUUAUUAAGCUCUGACUAUGUGCCAAGCACCGGAGAUACAGAUACUAAAUGGAGACAGUCCCAGCCCCCAAAGCAUUUACAUUUUAGAAUCUAGCACCUAACAGAGGGCAAUGAGGGUUAAGUGACUUGGUCAGGGUCACAUAGCUAAUAUGUGUUAAGUGUCUGAGGCUAGAUUUGAACUCAAGUCCUCCUGAAUGCAGGACCAGUGCUUUAUCCACUGUGCCACCUAGCUUCCUCCAACAUUUGUGUUCCCCCCAUAUCCUUCUUUCAGAACCAUUUCUUAUCAUCAAACAGAAAAUUAUAAAGAAGAGGAAAAAAACAGCAAAACCAACCUAUAUGAAGUUUCACAUCAGUGGACCCCCAUACCUCUACAGAGGAGCAGUCAUCUGGAUUUCUUCAUGCUCCCAAAUGUCUUUUCAUAUAUUAUCUUCCUUUUGCCUAUCUUUGUAUCCCCAGCAUUUAGUAUGGUGUCUGGCACAUAGGAAGUAGGCUAUUAAUAAAUGUCAUUAAUUGCAAAGCACUGUGGUGAUC